AGUUUUGUCAGGAAACAGCCACACCCAUACGUUGUGUAAUUUUUGUGCCUGCUUUUGAGCUACAAUGACAGAUUUGGGAAGUUAUGGCAGAAACUGCAUAGCCUGUGAAAGUGAAAAUACCAUUAUUACCAGAAGAAAUUUUGCCAGCUCCUGGCUUAGGGGGACUUUCUGCAUGAAUGUCAAGAAUAAUUUCUCAGGAGCCCCAGAAUUGUCUUAUGCUUAAGCCAUCUCUACACCCAGUCUGGGGCUUGAACUUAGAACUGCCAAGAUCAAGAGACGCAUUCUCUACUGACUGAGCAGCCACACGCCCCUAAGGUCAGAGUCUCUGGACUCGUAAAGUUACGCUAAUGAAGGUGACAGAAGAGUGAGGACCCUUUGUGCAGACACUGCCGAGUCGUGGUCAGGUGCAGAAAGGACUGGCCAGCCUGGAAGCUGUUGUCUCAGUAAACUGAGGACCUUCACUAAGAACGUGGCUUUCAGGGCACAAGGAGGAAAGAUUCAGAAUGAAAGCACAGAGUCCCCAGGCCUUGCUGACCCACUGAAUGUGCAUGAGGAAGAUGCAAGUUUUUCUGGCUUGGAUGAGGCAGCAGACUUUGGUUCAAUUAACUGAGAUGGGAAAGGCAAGAAAACAAGUGCGCUAUUGUGGAAGGUGAAGGGUGAGGAUUUGCCAUCCCCAAAUAGGCCCCAUUGGCAUAAAGAUUAUUUUGAGUUGAUUAUUUUAAGAAACAGUAGACAGAGGAGAAGCUCUGAAAACAGAGUAGAAGUUAUCCUUUUGUAAGGGA